UCCCCCAAAAUACCAAGAGUUCCCCCAAAACCCAACAUGGCUCCCCCAAAAUACCAGGAGUUCCCCCAAAAUGCCAACACAUUUCCCAUAAUCCAACAUGGCUCCCCCAAAGCCUAAUAUGGCUCCCCCAAAACACCAAGACCCCCCCCAAAACCCAACAUGGCUCCAUCAAAACAGCACAAGACCCCCGAAAACCCAACGUGGUUCCCCCAAAACACCAAGAGCUCCCCCAAAACCCAACAUGGUUCCCCCAAAAUGCCAAGAGUUCCCCCAAAACGCCAACAUGGUUCCCCCAAAACACAAAGAGCCCCCACAAAACCCAACAUGGUUCCCCCAAAACCAACAUGGUUCCCCCAAAAUACCAAGAGUUCCCCAAAACACCAACACAUUUUCCAUAAUCCAACAUGGCUCCACCCAAACCCAACACGGUUCCCCCAAAACACCAAGAGUUCCCCCAAAAUCCAACAUGGCUCCCACCAAAACCCAACGUGGUUCCCCCAAAAUACCAAGAGCUCCCCCAAAACAUCAAGAGUUCCCCCAAAAUGCCAACAUGGUUCCCCCAAAAUACCAAGAGCUCCACGAAAACCCAACAUGGUUCCCCCAAAACACCAAGAGUUCCCCCAAAAUACCAAGAGUUCCCCCAAAACCCAACAUGGCUCCCCCAAAACACCAAGAGCUCCCUCAAAACCCAACAUGGUUCCCCCAAAACCCAACAUGGCUCCCCAAAAACCCAACACGGUUCCCCCAAAACCCAACACGGUUCCCCCAAAACACCAACACAUUUCCCAUAAUCCAACAUGGUUCCCCAAAAACCCAACAUGGCUCGAUCAAAACAGCACGAGCUCCUCAAAAAUCCAACAUGGUUCCCCCAAAACCCAACAUGGUUACUCCAAAAACCAAUGUGGCUCCCCCAAAACACCAAGAGUUCCCCCAAAACGCCAACACAUUUCCCAUAAUCCAACAUGGCUCCCCCAAAACACCAAGAGCCCCCCCAAAACCCAACAUGGUUCCCCCAAAACCCAACAUGGCUCCCCCAAAAUACCAAGAGCUCCCCCAAAACAUCAAGAGUUUCCUCAAAACACCAAGAGUUCCCCCAAAACGCCAGCACAUUUCCCAUAAUCCAACAUGGCUCCCCCAAAACCCAACAUGGUUCCCUAAAAAGCCAAGAGUUUCCCCCAAAACAGCCGCGUUUCCCCCUAAAACACAGCACAUCUGGCCCAAAAGCGCCCUCUUUUGCCCCAAAAU
rnacentral:lncRNA from 1 species